rnacentral:rRNA from 1 species
CCCAAGAGAUCGGGAUAACACCUGGAAACAGAUGCUAAUACCGGAUAACAACAGAUGAUGCCUAUCAACUGUUUAAAAGAUGGUUCUGCUAUCACUCUUGGAUGGACCUGCGAUGCAUUAGCUAGUUGGUAGGGUAACGGCCUACCAAGGCGAUGAUGCAUAGCCGAGUUGAGAGACUGAUCGGCCACAUUGGGACUGAGACACGGCCCAAACUCCUACGGGAGGCAGCAGCC